rnacentral:rRNA from 1 species
GACGAACGCUGGCGGCGUGCCUAAUACAUGCAAGUCGAACGAAGCUGUUUUAACUGGUGCUUGCACCGACUUAAACAACUGAGUGGCAAACGGGUGAGUAACACGUGGGUAACCUGCCCCAAAGCGGGGGAUAACAUUUGGAAACAGAUGCUAAUACCGCAUAACCACAGAAACCACAUGGUUUCUGUGUCAAAGAUGGUUUCGGCUAUCACUUUGGGAUGGACCCGCGGCGUAUUAGCUAGUUGGUAAGGGAAUGGCUUACCAAGGCAAUGAUACGUAGCCGAACUGAGAGGUUGAUCGGCCACAUUGGGACUGAGAAACGGCCCAAACGCCUACGGGAGGCAGCAGUAGGGAAUCUUCCACAAUGGACGAAAGUCUGAUGGAGCAACGCCGCGUGAGUGAAGAAGGUUUUCGGAUCGUAAAACUCUGUUGUCAGAGAAGAACGUGUGCGAGAGUAACUGUUCGUGCAGUGACGGUAUCUGGCCAGAAAGCCACGGCUAACUACGUGCCAGCCGCCGCGGUAA